rnacentral:rRNA from 1 species
AAUGGGUCAGCGACUUAUAUUCUGUAGCAAGGUUAACCGAAUAGGGGAGCCGAAGGGAAACCGAGUCUUAACUGGGCGUUAAGUUGCAGGGUAUAGACCCGAAACCCGGUGAUCUAGCCAUGGGCAGGUUGAAGGUUGGGUAACACUAACUGGAGGACCGAACCGACUAAUGUUGAAAAAUUAGCGGAUGACUUGUGGCUGGGGGUGAAAGGCCAAUCAAACCGGGAGAUAGCUGGUUCUCCCCGAAAGCUAUUUAGGUAGCGCCUCGUGAAUUCAUCUCCGGGGGUAGAGCACUGUUUCGGCAAGGGGGUCAUCCCGACUUACCAACCCGAUGCAAACUGCGAAUACCGGAGAAUGUUAUCACGGGAGACACACGGCGGGUGCUAACGUCCGUCGUGAAGAGGGAAACAACCCAGACCGCCAGCUAAGGUCCCAAAGUCAUGGUUAAGUGGGAAACGAUGUGGGAAGGCCCAGACAGCCAGGAUGUUGGCUUAGAAGCAGCCAUCAUUUAAAGAAAGCGUAAUAGCUCACUGGUCGAGUCGGCCUGCGCGGAAGAUGUAACGGGGCUAAACCAUGCACCGAAGCUGCGGCAGCGACGCUGAUGCGUUGUUGGGUAGGGGAGCGUUCUGUAAGCCUGUGAAGGUGUACUGUGAGGUAUGCUGGAGGUAUCAGAAGUGCGAAUGCUGACAUAAGUAACGAUAAAGCGGGUGAAAAGCCCGCUCGCCGGAAGACCAAGGGUUCCUGUCCAACGUUAAUCGGGGCAGGGUGAGUCGACCCCUAAGGCGAGGCCGAAAGGCGUAGUCGAUGGGAAACAGGUUAAUAUUCCUGUACUUGGUGUUACUGCGAAGGGGGGACGGAGAAGGCUAUGUUGGCCGGGCGACGGUUGUCCCGGUUUAAGCGUGUAGGCUGGUUUUCCAGGCAAAUCCGGAAAAUCAAGGCUGAGGCGUGAUGACGAGGCACUACGGUGCUGAAGCAACAAAUGCCCUGCUUCCAGGAAAAGCCUCUAAGCAUCAGGUAACAUCAAAUCGUACCCCAAACCGACACAGGUGGUCAGGUAGAGAAUACCAAGGCGCUUGAGAGAACUCGGGUGAAGGAACUAGGCAAAAUGGUGCCGUAACUUCGGGAGAAGGCACGCUGAUAUGUAGGUGAAGCGACUUGCUCGUGGAGCUGAAAUCAGUCGAAGAUACCAGCUGGCUGCAACUGUUUAUUAAAAACACAGCACUGUGCAAACACGAAAGUGGACGUAUACGGUGUGACGCCUGCCCGGUGCCGGAAGGUUAAUUGAUGGGGUCAGCGCAAGCGAAGCUCUUGAUCGAAGCCCCGGUAAACGGCGGCCGUAACUAUAACGGUCCUAAGGUAGCGAAAUUCCUUGUCGGGUAAGUUCCGACCUGCACGAAUGGCGUAAUGAUGGCCAGGCUGUCUCCACCCGAGACUCAGUGAAAUUGAACUCGCUGUGAAGAUGCAGUGUACCCGCGGCAAGACGGAAAGACCCCGUGAACCUUUACUAUAGCUUGACACUGAACAUUGAGCCUUGAUGUGUAGGAUAGGUGGGAGGCUUUGAAGUGUGGACGCCAGUCUGCAUGGAGCCGACCUUGAAAUACCACCCUUUAAUGUUUGAUGUUCUAACGUGGACCCGUAAUCCGGGUUGCGGACAGUGUCUGGUGGGUAGUUUGACUGGGGCGGUCUCCUCCUAAAGAGUAACGGAGGAGCACGAAGGUUGGCUAAUCCUGGUCGGACAUCAGGAGGUUAGUGCAAUGGCAUAAGCCAGCUUGACUGCGAGCGUGACGGCGCGAGCAGGUGCGAAAGCAGGUCAUAGUGAUCCGGUGGUUCUGAAUGGAAGGGCCAUCGCUCAACGGAUAAAAGGUACUCCGGGGAUAACAGGCUGAUACCGCCCAAGAGUUCAUAUCGACGGCGGUGUUUGGCACCUCGAUGUCGGCUCAUCACAUCCUGGGGCUGAAGUAGGUCCCAAGGGUAUGGCUGUUCGCCAUUUAAAGUGGUACGCGAGCUGGGUUUAGAACGUCGUGAGACAGUUCGGUCCCUAUCUGCCGUGGGCGCUGGAGAACUGAGGGGGGCUGCUCCUAGUACGAGAGGACCGGAGUGGACGCAUCACUGGUGUUCGGGUUGUCAUGCCAAUGGCACUGCCCGGUAGCUAAAUGCGGAAGAGAUAAGUGCUGAAAGCAUCUAAGCACGAAACUUGCCCCGAGAUGAGUUCUCCCUGACUCCUUGAGAGUCCUGAAGGAACGUUGAAGACGACGACGUUGAUAGGCCGGGUGUGUAAGCGCAGCGAUGCGUUGAGCUAACCGGUACUAAUGAACCGUGAGGCUUAACCUU